rnacentral:misc_RNA from 1 species
GGUAUUGGCUGGGGCUGGGCUGGACUUAUCUGGCUUUACAGCAUUGUUUUCUUCUUCCCGCUGGACGUUUUCAAGUUCGCCAUCCGCUAUAUCUUGAGUGGAAAGGCUUGGGACAAUCUUCUCCAGAACAAGACUGCUUUCACUAGCAAGAAGAAUUACGGUAAAGAGGAGAGGGAGGCACAGUGGGCAUUGGCACAAAGAACACUGCACGGCCUCCAGCCCCCAGAAACCUCGGGUGUCUUCAACGACAAGAGCAGCUACCGGGAACUCUCAGAGAUUGCUGAGCAAGCGAAACGACGAGCGGAGGUUGCAAGGUUGCGAGAGCUGCACACACUGAAGGGUCAU